rnacentral:rRNA from 1 species
CCUACGGGGGGCAGCAGUAGGGAAUCUUCCACAAUGGGCGAAAGCCUGAUGGAGCAACGCCGCGUGGGUGAAGAAGGUCUUCGGAUCGUAAAACCCUGUUGUUAGAGAAGAAAGUGCGUGAGAGUAACUGUUCACGUUUCGACGGUAUCUAACCAGAAAGCCACGGCUAACUACGUGCCAGCAGCCGCGGUAAUACGUAGGUGGCAAGCGUUAUCCGUAUUUAUUUGGCGUAAAGGGAACGCAGGCGGUCUUUUAAGUCUGAUGUGAAAGCCUUCGGCUUAACCGGAGUAGUGCAUUGGAAACUGGGAGACUUGAGUGCAGAAGAGGAGAGUGGAACUCCAUGUGUAGCGGUGAAAUGCGUAGAUAUAUGGAAGAACACCAGUGGCGAAAGCGGCUCUCUGGUCUGUAACUGACGCUGAGGUUCGAAAGCGUGGGUAGCAAACAGGAUUAGAUACCCUAGUAGUC